rnacentral:tRNA from 1 species
UCCCAGGUGGCUCAGCUGGUUAAGAGUCCGCCUGCAAUGCGGGAGACCUGGGUUCGAUCCCUGGGUUGGGAA